ensembl:lncRNA
GUAUGACUCCAUUUCAGUUAUUGGUGGUGAAUUGUUGCCCUCCUUGACAGCAUCCAGGAAAGGUCGUUACUUUUCCAAAACACAAGUAGGACUUCACAAGCCUCAGCCUUGAAGAGUGUUCCUGGGAGCUUCCAGGCCCUUCAGGCAAAUGUGAAGAGCUCUUGUCCAGUGGAGGGGGUACUGAAGGGAUCCUCACCCGGGAGAGAGGGGAGGCGCUGUUUGGGUCUACUCCAGCGCAGAGCGAGGUCAAUCUAACAUGGCCACAGGAAGACGUAAGGACUUCCAAGACAGGAGAUCCUUCUGAGCGAAUUAUGAGGAACAGCAUCAAGAAGGAAGUGGCACCUGAACCAAGGCCUGUGAGAGAUCAAAUUCUACCUGCAAGCGUGUGAGGGACAGCAUCGUCUUGACAACACAUUUCUUGGAAAACACUGAAUUAAUAGCCCCUUCCGUUGACACUCCUUCGGCACUUGGAAGCGCAUUGACUCCUCAGAAUCAACUCAUGAAGUUUCUUCUUGUUGACCUGGGCACAUGUCCAGCUUAAAAAGAGAAUCACUCAAUUGUGGUUGGAACCGGCAGGGACCUGCCCCUUUGGGGUCCUCUGUGAGCCAGGUGAGGGAGCACGUGUGGAAAACCAUGUCUUGGCAUGAGCCACGGCUGCACUGUCCCUUCCUAGGCCUGACGUCAUCACAUCCCCGCCCCCUGCUUGCCCCUCCUCCUCCUGCGGUCCACUUCAUCACGUGGCUUGUGUUCUCCUUUCUGACUGGACACCUUUGAGCUGACCUGUGGUGACUCUCUGCUGACUUGGGCUUGGGGCCCUUUGCCAUAAAUAUCCUUUGAGAAGCCCGAGUUCAUCCUAUAUCUGGCCUUUGACCCCAAAUAAAUUAGAUGUCACAUAGGUUUCUUCAGUGUCACCCAAAAACCAUUUGGAAACCAUCAUAUUGUGUAUAAAGGAAGGAAAAAUCUUUAUCAGUUUGAAAUGGAGAAGUUUCACCACUGCUUUACUCUGUAAUGAUACGGUUGUAUUCGUUUGCUUGGGCUGCCAUAACAAAGUACCACCGACUGGGUGGUUUAAACCAUAGGAAGUCAUUUUCUCACGAUCCUGGAGGCUGGAAGUCUGAGAUGAAGGCAUGAGCAGGGUUUGUUUCUUCUGAGGAUGGGACUAGAGCCUUGGAGAGGAAAAGGCACACUUCGCCCAUUUUAACUGCCCGUAAAUGCAGGCAUGUUUAGAGUUCUCUACUAGCAUCUGUUUUCUCUAUGAAGAUGGAGGCCAAGUCAUCUUCUGGAAAGGGGGUAAUGGUGGGGCUGGAGGCUUCAGAGUGGCGUCUAAAGGGAUAUCGCUGGGAAUACUGAAGGCCAGCUACUCCUGCAUUCAACUGCAUUCUCUCCUAGUGGAUGCUUCUCUGAGCUCUGGAAACCAACACCUUUUGGCUGAAAAGACCCAUGCCAUCUGGGGCCCCUGGGCAUUGGAUGCCUAGAAAGUCUCCUCCUCCUGUCCCAUUGAGAGCCCAUGUCCAUUCAAUCUCCUAGAGCCUCGGGAAGCAGGUACACCCACCUCCACAGACCCCUUCCUGAACCUCCUGCAUCCUCCAGACCUACAUCCUGCAUCCCAAGAGGCAGCUUCUGUUCUGUCCCCUGAGCCCAGUGAAAGCUUUUGUUUCUAAGAAACAGGCCGUUAAUGAUUUCCCUGAGUCCUAGAUUUCAGCAUCCUUCAGUUCACUCCGUGUUCAGUACACAUUCUAAGUAUCUGUUGAUGGGUCUACAGGAGUUCGUUGUCCUAUUCUUGAAACUUUUCUGUAGGUUUGAAAUUUUUCAAAAUAAAAAUGCAGUAAAUGAAUAACCCAAGAAUCUGCCCAAAUCCUUUUCCAGACUGAAUCAGCUUGGGGUACUGUUGCCCCUGGUGAAGGCCCCUGACACCUCUCAAGGAGAGGGAGACGUUCCCUGGAACUGUCAGCGGCACUCAGGAACAAAAGCAAACUCGCUUAGCCCUGGAACCAGCCUAUACAGAAACAGACACUGGACAAUGCCAGGAAAGAGAAGGCUAUUUGAUGGAUGGGGCGGGGUCACCACCUGCCCUUCGUGCUGCCCCUUCUCCUCAAGCGCUCCAUCUACUUGCUGUCUCCCGUGAAUUCCCCACUACCGCCAGGGCUGUAUAAUUGGCUUCUGCUCUAGUAGAACAUGUCAGUUGGAGCUUCCUGGUUGGAGUAACUGUCAAUUUAGCUUUCAAUUUGGGAUUGUCCGGUCUCCUUGUCCACACUCUCACCUCUGUUGUAUGGGCUGUGGUCCAGUCUGCUAGCUGCUCACUCAACUUCCUGCUGACUUCUUGUCCUGCCCUUUGGCUCCUGGAGAGUUCCUGGCUCCUGACUGCUCUCUUGUCUGUGAGCUGCUGCCCCUCUUGAUUAGCCUUCAGCUUUCUGUCUGCCUGACUUCAACACUCCCAUGAACCAUGCAUGUAUUCCUGAUAUUACUUAAACUACUGGCCACGACACCAGGUAUUUCCUUGGGUCUCGUGUACCCUCAGCACCCCCUGAGUUGUGUGCAUCCAGCCUCUCUCCAGUUUUUUUAGACUUGGCAUUAACACAUUGUCCAGUGAUGGACAGCUCAUUGAAACCAUCAUGCACGCUUACAAUAUGCACUCAGCUUUUGAACAAACUCAGCAUUCACAGAUUCAGUUCUGAAUCCGUCUCCUUGACCUUUAUCUUGCAUCUGGUUCUGCUUACAUCUUUUGCAGCUGCUGCUUCUCCCAUUUUUGUCCUCACCCCCGUGAUUAGACUUAAUGCUUUCCAUUAUUUUCCUAGUAAUGAUCUCCAAGCAUCACUCCUGGGAUUCUAGUGCCCAACUUGGCUAAACACCCACUCUGGAUUUAACUCAUUCCUGGAACCCUG